UAUUAAAGAAUCAAGCUUCACUACCUUCUACUUUUGUAGAUUCACCAAAUCUUCAAAGUCUUCGAUCAUUUGCAAAAAAUAUUGGAGCUUCAAGUUUCGUCCUCCUCGAAACCUUCCAAGUCUUCAUACAUUCCGUGCAAAUCAAAGAAUUUUCUUCUUGUCAACCAUCUUCUUCAUCAAAUCGAUUAUAGAUUAUUUUUCGUUUCGCGCAAAGAAAAGAUACAAUGUAUGUCACAAAACCCAAACAACAAAGUCACUAAAAUCCGCGCGACUGGCGGUGGCUAGAAGUUUUGGCAUAAUUGGUGAACGAAUGAGACUGGCGCGACUGGGCAUGCGACGCGCGAAGGAACAACCGGCGCAAAGGUGCUAUACUUCGAAUGAAGUAAACAUGCGACUAGCGGCGUGCAGCGGAGGAGAUGUUUUUUUGCGGCUUAGUUCUCGAUCAACGUAAUGGAGAAGGUGGCUACAAAAGUGGAGAUCUCGAUUGGACGAAGAACACUCAAACGAAGAUGGAGAUGUCGGCGGCGGCUAGGGUUUGGCGAGAGUGAAGAAGAUGAUGAAUAGUAAUAAUAAUAUUAUUAUAUUAUUAUUUUCCCUUAAAUA